CAGAGGUCUCAAGCGUUGUUCGGAUUCAUUGGGCGUAAAGGGUGCGUAGGCGGCGCGGUAAGUCGGGUGUGAAAUUUCGAGGCUUGACUUCGAAACUGCAUUCGAUACUGCCGUGCUUGAGGACUGGAGAGGAGACUGGAAUUUACGGUGUAGCGGUGAAAUGCGUAGAUAUCGUGAGGAAGACCAGUGGCGAAGGCGGGUCUCUGGACAGUUCCUGACGCUGAGGCACGAAGGCCAGGGGAGCAAACGGGAUUAGAUACCCCGGUAGUCCUGGCAAUAAACGGUGCACGUUUGGUGUGGGAGGAUUCGACCCCUUCUGCGCCGGAGCUAACGCGUUAAACGUGCCGCCUGGGGAGUACGGUCGCAAGAUUA
rnacentral:rRNA from 1 species